CCUACGGGAGGCAGCAGUGAGGAAUAUUGGUCAAUGGGCGCGAGCCUGAACCAGCCAAGUCGCGUGAGGGAAGACCGUCCUAUGGAUUGUAAACCUCUUUUGUAGGGGAGCAAAAGACGCCACGCGUGGCGUUCCGAGAGUACCCGAAGAAAAAGCAUCGGCUAACUCCGUGCCAGCAGCCGCGGUAAUACGGAGGAUGCGAGCGUUAUCCGGAUUUAUUGGGUUUAAAGGGUGGGCAGGCGGAAGUUAAAGUCAGCGGUAAAAUUGAGGGGCUCAACCUCUUCGAGCCGUUGAAACUGGGUUGCUUGAGGGAGUUAGAGGUAGGCGGAAUGCGUGGUGUAGCGGUGAAAUGCAUAGAUAUCACGCAGAACUCCGAUUGCGAAGGCAGCAUACCGGGGCUCAACUGACGCUCAUGCACGAAAGUGUGGGUAUCGAACAGGAUUAGAUACCCUUGUAGUC
rnacentral:rRNA from 1 species